UACGAAGGGGGCUAGCGUUGUUCGGAUUUACUGGGCGUAAAGAGCUCGUAGGCGGUCUGUUGCGUCCGCUGUGAAAACUCGAGCUCAACCUCGAGACGCCGGUGGAAACCAUCAGACUAGAGUCCGGAAGAGGAGAGUGGAAUUCCUGGUGUAGCGGUGAAAUGCGCAGAUAUCAGGAAGAACACCCGUGGCUAAGGCGGCUCUCUAGUACGGUACUGACGCUGAGACGCGAAAGCGUGGGGAGCGAACAGG
rnacentral:rRNA from 1 species